rnacentral:rRNA from 1 species
AACGAACGCUGGCGGCAUGCCUAACACAUGCAAGUCGAACGAGACCUUCGGGUCUAGUGGCGCACGGGUGCGUAACGCGUGGGAACCUGCCUUUAGGUCCGGAAUAACUCAGAGAAAUUUGAGCUAAUACCGGAUGAUGUCUUCGGACCAAAGAUUUAUCGCCUUUAGAUGGGCCCGCGUUGGAUUAGCUAGUUGGUGGGGUAAAGGCCUACCGAGGCGACGAUCCAUAGCUGGUCUGAGAGGAUGAUCAGCCACACUGGGACUGAGACACGGCCCAGACUCCUACGGGAGGCAGCAGUGGGGAAUAUUGGACAAUGGGCGAAAGCCUGAUCCAGCAAUGCCGCGUGAGUGAUGAAGGCCUUAGGGUUGUAAAGCUCUUUUAACCGAGAUGAUAAUGACAGUAUCGGGAGAAUAAGCUCCGGCUAACUCCGUG